UACGUAGGGGGCAAGCGUUGUCCGGAUUUAUUGGGCGUAAAGAGCGUGUAGGCGGCCAGGUAGGUCGGUUGUGAAAACUCGAGGCUCAACCUCGAGACGCCGAUGGAAACCGCAUGGCUAGAGUCCGGAAGAGGAGAGUGGAAUUCCUGGUGUAGCGGUGAAAUGCGCAGAUAUCAGGAAGAACACCCGUGGCUAAGGCGGCUCUCUAGUACGGUACUGACGCUGAGACGCGAAAGCGUGGGGAGCGAACAGG
rnacentral:rRNA from 1 species